rnacentral:sRNA from 1 species
GGGCUGCAGGGCCCAGGGAGUGGGUCUCUUAUCUCUCCUCCUCACGCUUGGCCAGGUCCCACCUCUCGGGAGUGCGUGGGCUUUGAGGCUGUGCAGGAAGUGCCGGUGGGGCUGGUGCAGCCGGCCAGCGCAACCCUGUACGACUACUACAACCCCGAGCGCAGAUGUUCUGUGUUUUACGGGGCACCAAGUAAGAGCAGACUCUUGGCCACCUUGUGUUCUGCUGAAGUCUGCCAGUGUGCUGAGGGGAAGUGCCCUCGCCAGCGUCGCGCCCUGGAGCGGGGUCUGCAGGACGAGGAUGGCUACAGGAUGAAGUUUGCCUGCUACUACCCCCGUGUGGAGUACGGCUUCCAGGUUAAGGUUCUCCGAGAAGACAGCAGAGCUGCUUUCCGCCUCUUUGAGACCAAGAUCACCCAAGUCUGCACUUCACCAAGGAUGUCAAGGCCACUGCUAAUCAGAUGCGCAACUUCCUGGUUCGAGCUUCCUGCCGCCUUCGCUUGGAACCUGGGAAAGAAUAUUUGAUCAUGGGUCUGGAUGGGGCCACCUACGACCUCGAGGGACACCCCCAGUACCUGCUGGACUCGAAUAGCUGGAUCGAGGAGAUGCCCUCUGAACGCCUGUGCCGGAGCACCCGCCAGCGGGCAGCCUGCGCCCAGCUCAACGACUUCCUCCAGGAGUAUGGCACUCAGGGGUGCCAGGUGUGAGGGCUGCCCUUCCACCUCCCCUGGGAGGAACCUGAGCCUGGGAACCAUGAAGCUGGAAGCACCACUGGGUCCGCUUUCCUGAACACAGCCUGGAACCAGGGCAUAUUAAAGGCUUUUGGCAGCA